GACGAACGCUGGCGGCGUGCUUAACACAUGCAAGUCGAACGGAAAGGCCCUGCUUUUGUGGGGUGCUCGAGUGGCGAACGGGUGAGUAACACGUGAGUAACCUGCCCUUGACUUUGGGAUAACUUCAGGAAACUGGGGCUAAUACCGGAUAGGAGCUCCUGCUGCAUGGUGGGGGUUGGAAAGUUUCGGCGGUUGGGGAUGGACUCGCGGCUUAUCAGCUUGUUGGUGGGGUAGUGGCUUACCAAGGCUGUGACGGGUAGCCGGCCUGAGAGGGUGACCGGCCACAUUGGGACUGAGGUGCGGCCCAGACUCCAACGGGAGGCAGCAGUGGGGAAUAGUGCACAAUGGGCGGAAGCCUGAUGCAGCCACGCCGCGUGCGGGAUGACGGCCUUCGGGUUGUAAACCGCUUUCGCCUGUGACGAAGCGUGAGUGACGGUAAUGGGUAAAGAAGCACCGGCUAACUACGUG
rnacentral:rRNA from 1 species